rnacentral:rRNA from 1 species
UACGGAGGGUGCAAGCGUUAUCCGGAUUCACUGGGUUUAAAGGGUGCGUAGGUGGGCUUGUAAGUCAGCGGUGAAAUCUCCGGGCUUAACCCGGAAACUGCCAUUGAUACUAUAAGUCUUGAAUUAUCUGGAGGUAAGCGGAAUAUGUCAUGUAGCGGUGAAAUGCUUAGAUAUGACAUAGAACACCAAUUGCGAAGGCAGCUUACUACGGAUUCAUUGACACUGAGGCACGAAAGCGUGGGGAUCAAACAGG